CCAGCUCCCUCAGCUGCUGUUCACAGGACUUUGGACCCUUUGGACCCUUCACCAUUUCUGUUGCCCUUUUCUGGACAUCUCCAGCCCCUCAAUGUUUUUGUUGCAGUGACUUGUGGAUAGAUAAAAGGUAGGAGAAUAGAGACAGUGGUGAAGGUAAUCUGGCCCCUAAAGAGUUACAGCUGUGCUAAUUAUCAAGCAUUAAGAACAAGCCUGGUCUUAAUAGGCCACAGCUGGAUCCAGUUAGGAGGGGUAUUAUAAAAGAGCAGGUUGGCUAGUCAAGAGGUGAGAUGGUGUUUAUUGCCUGUGCUGAGAAGAAGGCGGCAGUGCUGUGAGGAGCUGCUCAUGAAAAUCACCUAGAAGCUGUACUGUGUCUAGGCGGGAUACAUCCAUUGUAACUCGGGCGUCUGGAAGUCAGACAUCUAAGUUUGGCUUAGUCAGCCAAAGUCCCUUUCAUAGUCAAAGGACAGAGGCAAGCACCUGCAGAGAGUAUUUUAUCUCAUGGUGGCACUGGGGUCUAGCAGGAGGUCAGAGCAGCUGCUCCCGGGGAGUGACAGUCUCAUCAACCAUUACAAGAUAACCCUGGCGUGACCAGCUCUGCCUUAGAUCUUUCAAACAUCCUAAGUUUUAGUGUGACAACUGCUUGAACAGAAAGGUCCCCCCAAGACUGGUGAUGACAGAAUACUCACACCCAUUUACAGAGCAGAAGGUUUCAGGCUGGUUCCUGUAAAGAAGAUGAAGUAUGCGACAUGCACCAGAUGUAUAUGAGUGACUUCUCUUGCCAAAUUUAUUGUAUCAUAUUUGCCUGGGUCUCUGUAAGUCUUCAAGGGGACUAAAGGAUGCCAAACUUCUUGAGGUCUGAUUAGUUUCAGAAAUGCAGAGCCUUUAUGGGGAUGCUGCUGAUUGACUCUGAGAAGAAAACAAGACUAAAUUGCUCUGUUCGCUGUGUUAAUUAAUUAAGGUUAUCUGGCAAGGUAGGCUGCCUGCCUUUUUAUUUUCAUCCCAGUUUCAGUAAGAAGCCAAGACAAAAAUGAGGCGGAGAAUUAGCCUGAAAAAGCAGUUGUCAUGGUGUAGGCAGGCAUUUCAGCUACACAUAUUUGUGUACCAUAACAGUUCUGAAUUUGCUGAAGUUGAGCAUGGUAUGUUGUAGUGCUUCCACCGAUAUUUGCCGUGUGCCCUAACAGAAAAUGAGAACUACUGUCUUUGGCAAUAUGAAAGAUAAAUGUUUACAACAUUUUUUCCCACCUAUUUUAAUAGAACUAUUCAAAUAUUUAAUAAGUUAUUCUAUUUUCUUUUCUAACAUGUUUUUCUGUUUUGGACUUGUCUGCCAGCCUUUGUGGUUUUGAUUGUCUCUUAACUGCUUGAUAGCAUGAGACACACACCUGAAUUCCACCUCAAGGAAAGCCUUUGCUGUUCUUUUCUUAGCUUUGUGUAUUCUUGUCACCCUUCCCUGGCUCUGGUGGAGCCUAGUGGGAAAAUCAAACUCCGCGUCACGCAACAGUCACCCCAGCCUAGCACAGAGAAAGCCGUCAGUAUCCCAGCAAGAUUAACUACUGAUUGUGUCUGAUCUCAGGCAAGAUCCUGGAGUGAACCACAUGCAGCUACCUGCUCUGCAGGCUGUGGAGUGUGCUCCUGUGCAGUGCUACAGACUAAAAGGGCCACAGAAGUGCCAAGUGGCCAGCCAGGGUGGGGGACUUCCUGAAACAGAGUUGUUCAUGAGCCAGUUAAAUGCAGGAGAUCUCAUCCAACAGACAGGCAUCUCCAUAUCUAAGAAGGGGAAAAGCCCUGUUAUUUUAUUUAAGAGAGUGGUCAGAAUGCCUUCUGGCAAGGAAGAAAUAGUGUGAACUGCAAGAUGACAGAUGAAACUGGUCUGGACCCCUCAAAGAGCUUAAAGUGAAGCCUGAACACAAAAGAUAAUAUGAUUAUCAAAGAGAGGUGAGCUGAUCUUGAAGGAGAGGUGAUCUCAGGGGAACACAAGGAAUACAAGCAGUGGGGACAGCUCUCCAGUGAGGUCCCCCCAGAGAAGCUGCAGUGAGAUGCCUUGGGGGUGUCCCAGAAGAUGCACCUGGCAGUGCCAUGCCUGGAGUCCUGGAUGAACUUGUCAGGUCUGGGGACAGAUGGAUGUCUACGCAAUGCAGCCCCAUAACUUCCUAUUGAAUUUCAUCCAUUCCCUCUUCUAUAUACAUUUGCAACUGUGUUGCCUCUUUUGAAUGCUGUGAAUAAAUGACUGUAUUUGCCUUUUAUUUUAA